rnacentral:rRNA from 1 species
GUGUCAGCCGCCGCGGUAAUACGGAGGGUGCGAGCGUUAAUCGGAAUUACUGGGCGUAAAGCGCGCGUAGGCGGUUUGCUAAGUCGGAUGUGAAAUCCCCGGGCUCAACCUGGGAACUGCAUCCGAUACUGGCCGACUCGAGUGCGAGAGAGGGAGGUAGAAUUCCACGUGUAGCGGUGAAAUGCGUAGAUAUGUGGAGGAAUACCGGUGGCGAAGGCGGCCUCCUGGCUCGACACUGACGCUGAGGUGCGAAAGCGUGGGGAGCAAACAGGAUUAGAUACCCGCGUAGUCC